GGCCAAUCGAGGUAAAACGAUGCUCUAUUCCAUAUUCUCUGUAGAAUUCAUGAAGUCGGACAUCAUUAAACUGCCUACCGUUAUCUGUGAUUAGUACUCGAAAAAGAUCAUAACAGUAGAUGAUUGAUUUCCAAACCAAUCUUUCACUUUGGCCUAGGAUAUACGAACUAGAAGCUCAACCUCGAUCCACUUUGUGAAAUAGUCGAUGGCCACUAGUAGGAACUUGUGCUGACUAGAUACGAAGGGGAAAAGACCAAGAAUAUCCAUCCUCCACUGAGCGAAUGGCCACGGGACGCUGAUGGAAGUUAGCAGUGCUGCCAGUUGAUGUUGAAUAUUGAAGAUUCUCUAGCACCGAUCGUAUUUUCUGACGAAAGCACCUAAAUUCUGUUGCAUAGUGAACCACUAGUAGCCUUACCAAAGGAUUUUGUAAGAGAGGGAUCUACCCCCUAAGUGGUUUCCGCAGAUUUCUUCGUGGACCUUCCAUAGCACAUAAUCUGCCUCAGAUGGGCAUGACCGCUUGUACAGUUUAUUAUCAUGCAAGACAUAGCAGGUGACCUACUUCUUUAUCUUCUAGGCUUCCUUACGGUCAGUAGACAGCUAGCAGGAAUUGAUAAGGAAAACCAUCCCGCACCUCUCUUUCCCUUCGCACAAAAGAAUGAAAGGCAAGCCUUAAGGAACUACCAUAGCCUAAAUGAAACCUCAGAUGGACAAUGAGCAGAAAAAAUUAACCAGAAACUGACACUAAAAUAAGAUUCUAAGUCCUCUCUUAACCUUGUCCAGUAAACUGGAAGUCUCCCUUGUCUUUUUUCCACG
rnacentral:lncRNA from 1 species